rnacentral:tRNA from 2 species
UCGGGAUAGCUCAGCC